rnacentral:rRNA from 2 species
GAAUGCUGACAUAAGUAACGAUAAAGCGGGUGAAAAGCCCGCUCGCCGGAAGACCAAGGGUUCCUGUCCAACGUUAAUCGGGGCAGGGUGAGUCGACCCCUAAGGCGAGGCCGAAAGGCGUAGUCGAUGGGAAACGGGUUAAUAUUCCCGUACUUGGUGUUACUGCGAAGGGGGGACGGAGAAGGCUAUGUUGGCCGGGCGACGGUUGUCCCGGUUUAAGCGUGUAGGUGUGUGUUCCAGGUAAAUCCGGUUCACUUUAACACUGAGGCGUGACGACGAGGCACUACGGUGCUGAAGCAACAAAUGCCCUGCUUCCAGGAAAAGCCUCUAAGCAUCAGGUAACAUCAAAUCGUACCCCAAACCGACACAGGUGGUCAGGUAGAGAAUACCAAGGCGCUUGAGAGAACUCGGGUGAAGGAACUAGGCAAAAUGGUGCCGUAACUUCGGGAGAAGGCACGCUGACACGUAGGUGAAGUGAUUUACUCAUGGAGCUGAAGUCAGUCGAAGAUACCAGCUGGCUGCAACUGUUUAUUAAAAACACAGCACUGUGCAAACACGAAAGUGGACGUAUACGGUGUGACGCCUGCCCGGUGCCGGAAGGUUAAUUGAUGGGGUCAGCGCAAGCGAAGCUCCUGAUCGAAGCCCCGGUAAACGGCGGCCGUAACUAUAACGGUCCUAAGGUAGCGAAAUUCCUUGUCGGGUAAGUUCCGACCUGCACGAAUGGCGUAAUGAUGGCCAGGCUGUCUCCACCCGAGACUCAGUGAAAUUGAACUCGCUGUGAAGAUGCAGUGUACCCGCGGCAAGACGGAAAGACCCCGUGAACCUUUACUAUAGCUUGACACUGAACAUUGAGCCUUGAUGUGUAGGAUAGGUGGGAGGCUUUGAAGUGUGGACGCCAGUCUGCAUGGAGCCGACCUUGAAAUACCACCCUUUAAUGUUUGAUGUUCUAACGUGGACCCGUUACCCGGGUUGCGGACAGUGUCUGGUGGGUAGUUUGACUGGGGCGGUCUCCUCCUAAAGAGUAACGGAGGAGCACGAAGGUUGGCUAAUCCUGGUCGGACAUCAGGAGGUUAGUGCAAUGGCAUAAGCCAGCUUGACUGCGAGCGUGACGGCGCGAGCAGGUGCGAAAGCAGGUCAUAGUGAUCCGGUGGUUCUGAAUGGAAGGGCCAUCGCUCAACGGAUAAAAGGUACUCCGGGGAUAACAGGCUGAUACCGCCCAAGAGUUCAUAUCGACGGCGGUGUUUGGCACCUCGAUGUCGGCUCAUCACAUCCUGGGGCUGAAGUAGGUCCCAAGGGUAUGGCUGUUCGCCAUUUAAAGUGGUACGCGAGCUGGGUUUAGAACGUCGUGAGACAGUUCGGUCCCUAUCUGCCGUGGGCGCUGGAGAACUGAGGGGGGCUGCUCCUAGUACGAGAGGACCGGAGUGGACGCAUCACUGGUGUUCGGGUUGUCAUGCCAAUGGCACUGCCCGGUAGCUAAAUGCGGAAGAGAUAAGUGCUGAAAGCAUCUAAGCACGAAACUUGCCCCGAGAUGAGUUCUCCCUGAGACUUAAAGUCUCCUGAAGGAA